rnacentral:lncRNA from 1 species
AGGUGGGUGUAUGGAUCUUCAUCUACUUGCCUAGAGAAGGGUUGCUCCUGAAUCAUGGCUAUUAGAUCAGGGCCGAGGUCGUAGCCAUCUGUAACAAUUGGACGUGAUGAUGGUGGUGGCUCUAAUAACUCGCCCUUUGGAGCAAAGAAUUUAUAGAUAGGAGUGAAAUCCAUGUGGUAUGGUAAAAAUGGUAAGGUGAGAGUGGUAUUAAAAAAAGGAAAAGAAAAAGGAUACAUGGACGACUUGGUUCGAAACUAACACAACUACCGUUCCCCGGCAACGGCGCC